rnacentral:rRNA from 1 species
AUGGCACUUGCAGAAUGUGGACUACAUGACCUCGGCUAUUUUGGUGACAAGUAUACAUGGAGAAAUAAUAGCCAUGAUGCUAAACUUUAUGUCAAGGAAAGAUUGGAUCGGGCUACUGGAUCCAGAGAGUGGUGUGUACGCUUCCCAUCUUAUCGGGUGAUAAAUGGCGACCCGAGGCACUCGGACCACAGGCCGAUCACUGUUUCAAUUGAUGGAACUAGGACACAAUACAAAAGGAUUGGAAAAGGAAACACAUUCAGAUUCGAGGCUAAAUGGUUGGAUGAAGAAGAAUGUGAAGAUAUAGUCACAAAUGCCUAGAAUGUUUCAAAUAUUAGAAGUGGUGGUAAUGUGUCUCAAGGCAUCAAAAUUGUAGCCAUGGAGUUAAAAGCUUGGGAUUGUAACGUACUAGGAGACCUUCAAAAGAGAAUAAAGAAAUUAAAAGAUGAUUUGGAAAUUGUAAGAAGAAGUGAAAUAAGUCAAGACAAGGUCAAUCGAGAGCAUGUUAUAAAGGAGAAAUUGGAUCGACUAGAGAAGCAACACAACCUUUUUUGGAGGCAAAGAGCCCAUGUCAAAUGGCUGCAAUUUGGAGAUAAAAAUACAACUUUUUUCCAUGCCUAUGCUUCGGAGAGGAAAAAGCGUAACAACAUUCAGAAGCUGAGGAAAGAAGAUGGGUCCUGGGUAGAGAAGGCAGAACAACUAAAGGAAUAUAUUUCAAAUUAUUUCUUUAGUUUGUUUACUUCGACGGCAGGGCAGGACAAUGAUAUAAUUCUGCAAUCAGUUCAACCUAGAGUAACUGACCAAAUGAACGAGCUCCUUUGUGCAGAAUAUACUGAAGAAGAAGUGGAAGCUGCCUUGAAUAAUAUUGGUGAUCUAAAGGCUGCCGGACCUGAUGGCAUGCCUGCAAUCCUUUUUAGUGAUUCUGGAGCACUGUAG